rnacentral:ncRNA from 1 species
AACGAGAGACACGGGAGUCCCGGGCGAUCUGCGGGGCUGAGAGUGGACACAGCCGUAACCGGAGCUGUCCUUACCGUCACACCUGAUCCGGAUCAUGCCGGCGAAGGGAGCGGAGAUGCAUUCAGG